GCCUGGGUGGCGGAAUUGGUAGACGCAAGGGACUUAAAAUCCCUCGGUCCUUGAGGCUGUGCGGGUUCAAUUCCCGUUUCUUGCAACA
rnacentral:tRNA from 1 species